CACGCCCUAAACUAUGGAUACUCGACAUACGCGAUACACAGUGUGUGUCUGAGCGAAAGCAUUAAGUAUCCCACCUGGGAAGUACGAUCGCAAGAUUGAAACUCAAAGGAAUUGGCGGGG
rnacentral:rRNA from 1 species